AACCUGCAGGAAUGACUAUCUGUCAAGGAGAGCGAGUCCCCUUCUGACACGUCAACACCAGAGAGACAUGCCUUACUCACAGGGCUAGGCCCAAGGAGUUUGCUGACAAGGCUUUUAACAAAACAAUAACUAAUCGGGUGCAGUAUUGCUCUACAAUAUCUAUCUAUCCCAGUCCAAAAUGAGGAUAGAUGCAGCUGAUUAUUCUCAAAUAAUGUGAUUUCCGGUUAAUAAAUUGACAUGUCCGUAUUUCAUGCAGCCGUUCUUGUAAGCAGAUCUCCGUGCAAAAAUGUUUAUGCAGAAGAGCAGGAUGAAGCUGGAAGAAAUUUAACAGGCAGGAAUUAUCCAAUUAAGAGUCGUGUAAGCAUUUGGAAUUAGUUCUAAAGGCUCCGUAGAAAGACUCUACUGCAGUAAACAUCUCAUCGUCAUUAA